GUAACUCCAUCAUGAUUAACCCAUCAUGAUCACCACCAUAAGCCUCCUCGGAUACCAUAACACCAUGGUGAAAAGAAUCAGUCACAUCCUAUAUCGUACCUCACUGACUAUAGUCGCUCCUACAGUGUAAUCUAUAGCCUCCCCUACAGAUACGUUUGAGUAGUCCUGCAAUUCAACUAAGGAAUAUGCCUUCCUACCACAC
rnacentral:lncRNA from 1 species